rnacentral:lncRNA from 1 species
UUUUAUUUUAUUUUUUUUAAUCUUUCUGUUCAGAGACCUUGCUUGAUCUUCCCUAUAUCUGCUCAGGGCACUGGCACUUACUAGGUUUUCGGUUUUGUUUUGUUUUGUUUUGUUUUAACCUCCAAUGGUGAGAGGACUAGGAGGUUGCCACGGAGGCGCUGUGUGCCAGUUAUCUACAACAGCCCCUGUGAGCUCAGAAAACACACACACACACACACACACACACACACAAACACACACUCUGCUCUCUGGCUAACUCCGAGGAGUGAACUGACUGCAUCCACUAAGCUGACACUAAAACAGGUAAAAACACACAUGGCUCAGAGCAAUAGGAAUAUCAUAACUUGUGGUUCUAUUUCAGGUAUAGGAAUUAUACAAAUCAUUGAUUCUUCCGAAGCAUCCGUCCCAUCUCAUUCUCUGGCUCCCUUAGCAUGUGCAAUACUUUGUGUGCCAAUAGUGUGCUAUCUAGUUAAAGUUCAUUCCCUUUUGGCCUUUUCCUUGUUCGGUGGGCUGACCUUUCUUCCCCUCGCUGGCCAGAGAAAGGCUGGAGGAGUGAGCCAGGAGAGGCGAGCCCCUUCCAUUUCUCCUUAACACCGAUGGAUGCAGAGUGCUAGGGUAGGCAGCCUAUGGGAGCCUGUGUGUGUCUGUCACCAGGACACAGUGAGAGCCAGCCAAGGAGACCUGAGGGAAGCACUUUGAAGGUCCGUCACCACACUCUGCAAAGGCCCCUCGCUCUGUAGUGAAGCUGGAAUGGAGCCAGGAGGCGGAGUGGCUCCUAGGACGAACUCUGGAGCGGAAUGGUCUUCAGUCAACUCAUUUUCAGUCUCUUCUGUGUCCUUGAGACUUUGAUCCCUGCCUUUGACACAAGCAACUUAUUGCAUAUGUGUGUGUUCUGAGCAUGCCCACCAGUGGCUUUGGAGGGCAACCUGGCAACCACAGUCACCAUUCCCUUGGGACAGCUUUCUCUUCAAACAGGAAGAACACACAGAGGCAGGAGCCACCUCUUAUUUGCAGACAUUGGUGGGGUCCUCCAGGCUCCCGGAGCACCUUUGGUCAACUGUGUAGGGAGCACGGUAAUAGCAGUGCCCUCAUCGGACAAGGAUCAGCCACGCGCCUCUGUACCUGUCCUCUUUGCAAUAUUUACCAACAGCCGACUUUUCCUUCUUCUCUUUCCUGCUUUCCAUUUUAAAACAAAGUAACAGCAGGCCUUUUUUGUGUUUACAACGGAACACAAUCACCAAGAAAUUAGUCAGGGCAAAAAGAAAACAUAGUAAUAUUACUCAUAAGAAAUCAGCAAACAAGAACCUCUUUCUAGGGAUUUCUAAAUACACAACAACGUGACUGUUCCUUAGACUGUUUAACUUUAGAAUUAUUUCAGUUUGUCUGGGCCACCUUGGGGGUCAGUGGGAUGGGGUAGGGACUGGGGUGGGGGAAGGCCAGGGAUACCACUUACCUCAAAUCUUUUUAAAAGUGGAAAUCCAAAUUGCAUUUGGGGGAGGGUGGGGAGGGGGGACUUGCAGGAUAAUCGUCUAUGUUGGUCACAUUUUGCUUUUCUCGAUUCAUCCAACUCAGUUUGGGAUGGCCUGAUGUUUGUGGUGGUGGCAACAGAACGUCCUUAACUCUGAACCCCAACCUUGUAUGUUUUCUGUUAGGUGAGCUUGUUGGGUUCCUCCCCACCCCCUUACCCCAUAAGGAAGUGGCAGCGUCCUUUCUCCCUUGCAAGGAACCCUGCAGAACCUUCCACACCUCUUACUCAGGGAUGGGGCUGGUGUGUGUGUGUGGAACACAGAUGUGUUCAGCAACAGCACUUUGGACUGCUCUGGAGUAGGGUUGUACAAUUUCAAGGAAUGUUUGGAUCUCCCCGCACAGUGUGGAUUGCUCCUUAGCUACUGCACAGAUUGCAAUAUAAUGCUGCACGUUCAAGACGAGCAGUAGCUCCUCAUAAUCAGAAGAAAAAAAAUAUAUCCACUCUUUGCACAUAGUUUGAUCUUUACUGAAAUAUGUUGCCAAAAUCUGUUUUUGUUCUAGCUUUGUAUCUUUUCAUUUCUUUCUUUCUCUCUCUCUCUCUUUUUUCUUUUAAGGAAACAAUUGAUAAUACCUUGUAACAUCUGUGACUACUAAGGAAACCUAUUUUGUAGAUGCUUUUGAAGACACUAACACCUAUUUCAGACACGGGUGAGGAGGCAGAGCUCUUGGGAUAGAAAGCCAGACUUUGUAAGUUGAGUUGGCAUGGCAACUGUUUCCUGAGCCACAAGACCCUCAACCAACUGGUCUGCUCUCUCUCUCGAGAGCCCUUCGCUCCUCAUUUCCCAGUCACCCCCUUUGACUCCAGGGGAAUACAGGGCCUCCAGUCUCCGGGUCCUAUCCAGUUUCUUUAGUGGUUGAGAUGAACGGCAAGAGAAUCAUAUUUUGUUGUUUUAAAAGUGGAGCAAAGGCCUUUGCAUCCACAGUUGUGUUUUGAUGCCAGGAUUUCCGAAAUAGAAAAUUUAAGGAAAAAUCGAGUAAUAACUAUAGAGAAUUUACUUUUCUUUUAAUAAAGCACAUGCGUAUGACCUGUUGAGUUGGGUUGGUUUUCUCCCUGUCCAUGAACAGUGUUGUAUUUCUGUUCCUAAGGCAACUCGAAACAGUUUGCACACCUCUACUCUGGAGCUGGGAUUUCUUUCAUAGAUGACCUCGCUUCAAAUGUUACCUUACUGAUAGGCUUUUUCUUGUAGCGCUAUACCUUGUGGGAAGUUUUUUUGUUUUGUUUUGUUUUUUUCUUUAAAGUACACCCAAUUU